CGAGAAAGCCCGCAAGGGUGAGUAAAGCGGCGCACGGGUGAGUAACACGUGGGUAAUCUGCCCUAGAGUCCGGAAUAACUCGCCGAAAGGCGUGCUAAUGCCGGAUGAGACCACGGGAGCCUCGGCUCCUGCGGGAAAAGGUGGCCUCUGUACACAAGCUAUCACUCUAGGAUGAGCCCGCGGCCCAUCAGCUCGUUGGCGGGGUAAUGGCCCACCAAGGCUACGACGGGUAGCUGGUCUGAGAGGACGAUCAGCCACACUGGAACUGAGACACGGUCCAGACUCCUACGGGAGGCAGCAGUGGGGAAUCUUGCGCAAUGGGCGAAAGCCUGACGCAGCAACGCCGCGUGUGUGAUGAAGGUCUUCGGAUCGUAAAGCACUGUCGCGAGGGACG
rnacentral:rRNA from 1 species